rnacentral:rRNA from 1 species
AUGGCAACCGGCAUUCUGGAGGUUAUACCAGCUCCAAUUGCAACAUUUGACAUCAGUGAUGACAACAAGUUGGCCGAGAAUUACAAAACAUGUGUCGAAGCCAUCAGGAGUCACAUGGCGAAAGAAACGGAUGUGAAGUUUACUGUUACUGUGGAAGGCAAGGAGGCGACAGUUCCUGUGACUCCAAAGAAAAACCAUACACCAUCUGGUAUGUACGUAAUAGAAGUCACAGAUGGCAAGAAGAGUCUGCAACUUGUCGGCACAAAAUUUCAAGCAUGGUUUAGGGGCAUUGUGAACAAUAGUGGGGAUCGUUUUGAGGUUGAUGACAAAGAGUCGAAGAUGAUGAGGAACUUGCAGAUUUCAAGGUGGGAUAUCAUCGGUUGA